GCCCAGAUGGUGGAAUUGGUAGACACGCCAGCUUGAGGGGCUGGUGCUCAUUGCGAGCGUGCAGGUUCGACUCCUGUUCUGGGCA
rfam:Lewinella sp. 4G2 scaffold27_cov53_read170, whole genome shotgun sequence.